GAUGAACGCUGGCGGCGUGCUUAACGCAUGCAAGUCGAACGGAAAGGCCCAAGCUUGCUUGGGUACUCGAGUGGCGAACGGGUGAGUAACACGUGGGUGAUCUGCCCUGCACUUCGGGAUAAGCCUGGGAAACUGGGUCUAAUACCGGAUAGGACCACAUUUUGGAUGGUGUGGUGGAAAGUUUUUCGGUGUGGGAUGAGCUCGCGGCCUAUCAGCUUGUUGGUGGGGUAAUGGCCUACCAAGGCGUCGACGGGUAGCCGGCCUGAGAGGGUGUACGGCCACAUUGGGACUGAGAUACGGCCCAGACUCCUACGGGAGGCAGCAGUGGGGAAUAUUGCACAAUGGGCGCAAGCCUGAUGCAGCGACGCCGCGUGGGGGAUGACGGCCUUCGGGUUGUAAACUCCUUUCGCUAGGGACGAAGCGCAAGUGACGGUACCUGGAGAAGAAGCACCGGCUAACUACGUG
rnacentral:rRNA from 1 species